AAGAUCUGGCACAGCCAGAUAAAUAAAUAAAAUUUUUUUUAAUUAAAAAAAAAGAAAGUAUGGCUCACUCACAGGAAAAAAGAAAAAGAAAUUAAUAAAAACUGUCCCUGAGGAAACCAGACACUGGAUUCAGUAGACAAAGACUUUAAAUCAACUGUCUUAGAUAUUUUCAGAAAACUAAAUCAAGAAAAUGAUGUCUCACCAAGGCUGGCUCCUCUGUCAACUCCCAGUUCCCUCUUUCCCACCCAACUUCUAGCUUCACUGCUAUCUUGGGAAUUUUCCUAAAAAUUUUGUGGUGGGAGAAGGGGAAUAAAGAUAAAGAAAAAAAAAGAAAGAAAAUGAUGGCUCAGUGACUAUCAAUAGAACAAUAGAAAUUAUAAAAAGGAACCAAGUAGAAAUAUGGGAGCUGAAAAGUACAAUAACUGAAAUUAAAAAUUCACUAGAGGGUAGAUUUGAGCAGGCACAAGAAUCUCAACAAACCUGAAUAUAGGUCAAAUAAAAUUAUCCAGUCUGAGGAGCAGAAAGAAAAAAGAAUGAAGGAAAAUUAGCCUAAGAGACCUGUGGGCUGACAUCAAGUGUACAAACAUAUGCAUAAUGGGAGUCCCAGAGGGAGAAGAGAUAGAGAAAAGGACAGAAAGAAUAUUUGAAGAAAUAAUGCUCAAAAAGUCCCUCAAACUUAUGAAAGGCAUGAAUCUACACAUCCAAGAAGCUCAACAAAUUCCAAGGAGGGUAUACUCAAAGAGAUCUACACCAGGACAGAUUAUAAUCAAACUGUCAAAAUCCAAAGUCAAAGAAAGAAUCUUGAAAACAAGAGAGAAGCAGCUUAUUAUGCACAAGGGAUCUUCAGUAAGAUUAAAAACCAAUUUUUCAUCAGAAACUAUGGAGGCCAGAAGGCAGUGAGAUAACACAGUUAAAGUGUUGAAAGAAAAAAAAACAAAAAACCAAACCUUUCAACUAAGAUUUCUGUAUCUGGCAAGACUAUCGUUCAGAAAUGUAAGAGAAAGUAAGAUAUGCCCAGAUAAACAAAAAUUGAGGGAGUUCAUUGCUAGUAGACCUGCCUUACAAGAAAUACUAAAGGGAGCAAAUCCUUCAGCAUGUCAGACAUGAGGAAAGGAGGAGACUCUGAUGCUGCCCUGGGCCUCUACAUCCAUAUUUCAGCCACCUACCCAAGCCUUCCCCAAAGCUGUUAAAAGGCUCCAUCAAACUUACAGGGCUCCUGGAAGCUGCAGGAUCCGCAAGGCUCCUCGCCACAUGCCCUGGGUCCCAGGCCCCUCAGGAGGGUCAGGCCGUGGGCAGGACAUGGUGACAGUGAGCAGAGAGCAGGCACUGUGGAGGAGAUCAAAGGAUCAGGCCAAAUGGCUAGGGGAUGGGGGUGGGUGAAGGCACCUGCCUGUCCUCACCUGUCUUCACCACCUGCAGCCUGCAAGUACAGCUCUGAGGCAGCUCUUGAGUCAGACACCUCCACUUCACUGGCAUUUUCUACCACGCUGGAGGAAGGGAAGGCUGAUCUCAGCUCCUAAGCACAAGGGUUCUGUCCAGCCCCCCAGAAUCUCUGCAUGGGGAGCCCAUGGGGGCCCAAGAGCCUAUAAGAAUCAUCCCCAAGACUCCAAGCUCAAUAUAUCCCCUAAAAGCCUCUCAUCUUCAUGAUCUUAUUUUUUCUCCUAUCAUCUGCCCAGUGAGGGAAACAAGAUAGUUGGGAUUGCUCCCAUUUUAUAGAUGGAGAAACUGAAGUUCAGCUCGGUGAGAUGCUCAGAUCACCCGGGAUGGUAAUGACUGAGUUGAAGAGGUGUAAGUGGAUGGGGUGGUGAGAAGAGCGAGAGGUUAUGGAGAUAUGGGAUGAAGGGAAGACGGUGAGAGGGAGUCCUGGGGGCAAAUGCAAAACCUGUAAGCAUGACCCCAAGUUCAUAACUUCCCUUCCCUGGAGCGGCAGUGGGGAGAAGCCUCCAACGGCUUGGUUUGGGGUGUCAGCCCUGACUUAAGACAAGCUCCCUCAGACCCCGUUGGGCUCUGGACACUCACAAGCCCAGAGGGGACACAUCCAGCACUGACAGGGUCUCUGAGCCUGGAGCAAGCAGGUCCCGACUCCUCCCACUGGUGCUGAGCUGCGAUCACACAAGCACAACAUCUGUUACAAACCGAACCUUUCCCCAGCCUUUGGCUCAUGUGAUCCUCCCGCUGGGGCCCUGUGAACCAAGCAGGGCACCAAAAUUCAGCCAUCUCAGGCAGGAAAAAGGAGACCCCAGCAAGGCAAGCCGACAGUGGUGUGGAGGAUGAACGGGAAGAGGGGGAACCAAUGAGAGACUAGCUGUAGGUGUUUGGACGGGCAAAAGAUCCAAACUCUUCAGGCAGUCCCUGAGCCUUGGGCUCUUUUGCAGCAUCAACAUGGCCUUGGCUCCCCAGGUCUCCCCUCCCCUCAGGACCUCACCUGCACCAGGCUAAGUGUACUAAGCACGGCAUCAGAGCCCCUGAGGGGCAGAGCUUCUUCAAACAGCAUCUGCAGCAGCUAAAGAGGAGAAGGGUGAGUGAGGAUUGAGAAAGGAUUAACCUGUUUUUCAACAUUUCCUGAGGGCAAGGAAAUUAUUUCUAUGCCUGGCCCUGUGCUAGGUGCUCUGGACUUGGUGGCCAGGACAAAAAUAGCCCCUGGCCUUGUGGUUCCCAGCGAGCCAGACAAGUGAGCAGACAUUUUCAGUGGGACCUCCUGUUUGCUAGGGUAGGGGCUCAUGACAAGGUUUUGAGGCAACUAUUUUAGUUUGGGGGCACUUUGCUGAAGCCUAAAAACAAAAUGUUUAUUAUCAUCAUUAGUAUUGCUAAGAACAGUGAAAAGUAGACUUCCCUGAGUAUUUGAUCUUUGCACACCACCCCUCCUUGACCCUCACCUCAUGGACCCCAGCCUCCCACCUUCCCUGACCUCUCAAUAGCUUCGUGAUUGAUGCUGGAAAAACAUCCUGUAUGGACCACGGGGUGCUAUAGGAACCCCAAGGAGGGGCACCUAGUCCAGCUAGGGUGGGGAGGGGAAAGUUCUCGAAGGUCUCCUUGAGGAGCCAACACUUGAGUCUCAUAACAGCUAUGACUGGUGCAUCCUCUGGGACUCACCUGAGGCACAAGCCGGGGUGCCUCUGUUUCUCGACCCCGAAGCAGCAGGGCCACACUGUACCCUCGGCCCACCGAGCCCAGCAUGCACUGGACUCUUGCUAGCAACUCCUGCUCCACCUCCUGCAGGGAGACACAGGCACAUCUCCGACUCAGGUGCCUGCCCAGCCUGCCCUGACCAGAGAGCUUGGGAAGCACUCAGCACUCCAGGAUCAAGGGUCCUGAGUGCUCUGACCCUCCUCCCAUCGCCCUACCAGACCCCCCUACCUGAGGAGCAUCAGAACCCAGGACUCUGUCAAAGGUGAUGCAUUGUUCCUGUGAGCAGAACUGGAGUCAACAGUGUCACUCCCAUCUUCCCUGGACUUAGCCACACCCCAUCCCAGCCCAUCCCAUCUCUACCUGACUCUCCGGAAUCCCACGCUGACACAGGCGGAUGCUCUUGGGCCCCUCCAGGAGGAGCGUGGGGCAACAGGUCUCCUCGGGGCCUGAGACAGGUUCAUCCAUGAUGUAGCAUGUAUCAGUACUUCUUUCGUUUCUGUGGCUGAAUAAUGUUCCAUGUAGGAUGAAAUUACUUCUGUCACCAACUACCCAGAGUUUGGCCAGACUUCACAGCUUCUGUUCCUCCUUCUAAAGUUCAUACGGAUUUCAACAGAUGCUGAAUAGUCAGAACAAUCUUAUAAAAGAAGAACAAAGUUGGAGGACUCACACUUCCUGAUUUCAAAACUUAUUGUGAAGCUAUAGUAACCAAGACACUGUGGUACUGGCAUAAGAACAAACAUAGAGAUCUGUGAGAGAGCAGAGCAGUAAGGGUCCAGAAAUAAACUCAUGUUUCUAUGGACAGCUGAUUUGACAAGGACAUCAAGAACAUUCAAUGAGGAAAGAUUAAUCUUUUUAACUAAUGGCACUGGGACACCUGGACAUCCAGAUACCGAUGAAUGGAGUUGGACCCUUACCUCAGACCAUAUACAAAAAUUAACUCAAAUCGAUCAAUUUCCCAAACUUAAGAGCUCAAACUAUAAAACUCAUAGAAGAAAAUACAGAAACUAAUCCUCAUGGCCUUUAAUCUGGCAAUGAGUUCUUAGAUAUGAUACCAAAAGCAAGCACAACAGAAGAAAACAUGAUAAACUGAAUUUCAUCAAAGUUAAAAACUUUUGUGCAUCAAAAGACAUUAUCAAAAAUAUGAAAAGGCAGCCUACAACAUGGGAGAAAAUAUUUGCAAAUUAUAUACCUGAUGAUGAUCUACUAUCCAGGAUAUAUAGAGAGCUCCUACAACUCAGCAACAAAAAGACAAACAACUCAAGUAAAAAAUGAGGGAAAGACUUGAAUAGCCAUUUCUCCAAAGAACAUAUACACAGUGCAUAAAAAGAU